UUCUUUCACUGCUUCUUAUUGCAGAGAGGAGAAAAGCAAAAGAAAAAGGACCCAAAAGUUGUUUGUGACCAUCUCCAUUGAAGGAAAUACAGGAAAGCGAUGCUAAUGAGACUUCUGGGUUCAGGUGGCAACCAAAAGGAAGUUCCAGAUGGGGGAGGAGGAUAGAGAAGCAGGCUUUGGGGUUCUUUCUGGUUUGAAACAAGAGGAGACACUAAAAUUGGCACCAGCAGUGUAGGAGCUGGCUCAGCACAGUAAGUACAAACAUCCCGCCUUCCUCAAAUCCUGGUCAUAAGCUUCCUCAUGCAUCUUCCCUGGUCUGGCUGUUCAUAGUGUCUCCAAGUAACUUCUUAAACAAACUCCUCCUUAGAAAUAGGGAUAGAGAGUCUGUGUUUUCAAUUUCUGGCCAUAGAAUUUGGGGAAUCAGUUACCCUCUUGCUUCUCUUAGCAAGGCUUGCCUUCAGACUAGGGUCAAGAGAUCUAUCUUGAUAGAGCUACGGUAGACAUGGGUUAUCAGAAGAGCUCUCA